rnacentral:lncRNA from 1 species
AUGGGGAUUCUCCAGGCAAGAAUACUGAAGUGUGGGUUUCCAUUUCCUUCUCCAGGGUACCUUCUCAACCCAGGGAUCGAACCCGCAACUUCCAUGUCUCCUGCAUUGCAGGCAGCAAAUUUGGACACUUCCGUGUCUCCUGCAUUGCAGGCAGCAAAUUUGGACGUCCGUAAUAAGAUAGAGGAAGUGAGCAUAGAUGCCAAUGACCACAUUUUCAGAGACCAAGACUGAUAUUGAAGGUGGUGUGUUUAAGAGAAGGUGUGUUUGCUCCGGGCAAUGAGGUAAGAGACUAAAAGAGUGAGGGUGGGGCCUUUCCUCCUUAGGUCUCAGGUGGAGCUUCUAGGUGGACAGCAAAAUCCUCCUUUCAUUUAUAAAUGGACUUUGUUUGCUCUGGCAGCAUCUGAGAGGAUAAAUAUGGGAUCCCACAGAAGCCAAAAUGUUAUUUUUGCCGUGUCUUUUCUCAUUAUAACUUCAAGUCUCUUCUUUCCCCACCUCCUCAACCUCUUUUUUUUUGGGGGGAGGGGAGGUUUGUUUUUCACAUAUGGAUGCAUGCAUGUGUAUGAUAUGUGUAAAUGAACACACACAUAGAGCUAGAAGUUCUAAAGAAGAACCCAAAGUGCAAAAGUAGACCCUUUAGAUAAUCUUUAUCUGACAUAAAGAUGUCUACAGCAUCACUUUUCUGACAUUUUCCCCCUAGGUAAGAUUGUCCCCAAAUGUGGUUCAAAUGUGGUCAGAUUCUAUCUUGCAAAAAUAUGAGACUCUGAAGAACAUACAAAUUAAAUAAUGACUAAGUGAUGUUAGUUAAAUAUACUUGUUUUAAAAGGCACUUGACAGCAAGAGUCAUUUUGGUAAUUCUAAGAGGCAUAUUAAUUUUUACCCUGAGAGAUAUCAGAAUGUAAUUAAUAUCUGGGUAAAGAAGUUUAUCCACAGUUAAAGUUUAAGGCAAAAUCCAAACUUAAUAAGACAUGUUGUAGGUAUUCUUCCCUGGUAAAGAGAGUAAUGUCACCUCCGCCUAGCCUCCCCCACCUCACUCUGCCAAAGUGUCUAUAUCUUUAUCCCUGCAAUACUGUGAACAUGUUGGGUUGCAAGGCAAAGGGGAAUUAAAUUGAUGGAUUUAAGAUUGUGAAUCAGCUGACCUUAAAAUAGGAUGAUUAUUUUAGAUUAUACAAAAAAGGUCUUAAUGACCCAGUUAACCAUGAUUGUGUGGUCACUCACCUAGAGCCAGAUAUCCUGGAGUAUGAAGUCAGGUGGGCCUUAGAAACA